CGACGGGCACGUGUCAUCAUGAAAACCCUCGUCGCUUUGCUCGUAGUGGCCCUCGUAGGGCAGCUCGCUUGGACCUACCCGAUGGCUGACCCUGACGCCUGGGCCGACGCCGACCCCUUCGCCUGGGCCGACGCUAUGGCUAAAGGCCAACCUGCUGCUCUAGCCAAUGCUUUCGCCAAGGCUCUGGCUAAUGCCGACGCGGACGCUCUGGCCGACGCUUUCGCAAAGGCCGACGCUUUCGCAAACGCCGACUUUUAGGCGAACGCCGAAUUUAUUUCGCAUUUCUUAGCACUAGUCGCCGUUCGCACAUCACGCCAUUAUUAACGAUUAAAACUCGAGAAGGAAGACCACCGUAUCUCCACGACUGGACGAUUCCACGUGAUGUAAUUGAUUGUGUCCACGCGGGAGUGUACAAAAAUAAAUAAUGAAACACAAAAUGAAACAAAAGUGCAAUAAAGAAAAAUCGCGAGCGUUGAAAUUGAAAUGUCGCACAGUAAUAUAUCGUUAUAAAAAAAAAUUUUUUCCAAUUAAGUUCUAAUGUAAUGUUAACAACUUCAUGUGCAUGUUAUUACUGCCAUUUUUGUAUUGGGACAACCAAAUAAGGAGCUAGAAAUAAUUAUAAUUUUAGUUGAAUCGAAAA